AGUGAACGCUGGCGGUAGGCCUAACACAUGCAAGUCGAACGGCAGCACAGUAAGAGCUUGCUCUUACGGGUGGCGAGUGGCGGACGGGUGAGGAAUACAUCGGAAUCUACUUUUUCGUGGGGGAUAACGUAGGGAAACUUACGCUAAUACCGCAUACGACCUACGGGUGAAAGUAGGGGAUCUUCGGACCUUGCGCGAUUGAAUGAGCCGAUGUCGGAUUAGCUAGUUGGCGGGGUAAAGGCCCACCAAGGCGACGAUCCGUAGCUGGUCUGAGAGGAUGAUCAGCCACACUGGAACUGAGACACGGUCCAGACUCCUACGGGAGGCAGCAGUGGGGAAUAUUGGACAAUGGGCGCAAGCCUGAUCCAGCCAUACCGCGUGGGUGAAGAAGGCCUUCGGGUUGUAAAGCCCUUUUGUUGGGAAAGAAAAGCAGCAGGUUAAUACCCCGCUGUUCUGACGGUACCCAAAGAAUAAGCACCGGCUAACUUCGCG
rnacentral:rRNA from 1 species